rnacentral:rRNA from 1 species
GGUUAAGCGACUAAGCGUACACGGUGGAUGCCCUGGCAGUCAGAGGCGAUGAAGGACGUGCUAAUCUGCGAAAAGCGCCGGCGAGGUGAUAUGAACCUUUGACCCGGCGAUGUCCGAAUGGGGAAACCCAGUGUGUUCCGACACACUAUCGUUAACUGAAUACAUAGGUUAACGAGGCGAACCGGGGGAACUGAAACAUCUAAGUACCCCGAGGAAAAGAAAUCAACCGAGAUUCCCCCAGUAGCGGCGAGCGAACGGGGAGCAGCCCAGAGUCUGAAUCAGCUUGUGUGUUAGUGGAACGGUCUGGAAAGUCCGACGGUACAGGGUGAUAGUCCCGUACACGAAAAUGCACAGGUUGUGAACUCGAAGAGUAGGGCGGGACACGUGGUAUCCUGUCUGAAUAUGGGGGGACCAUCCUCCAAGGCUAAAUACUCCUGACUGACCGAUAGUGAACCAGUACCGUGAGGGAAAGGCGAAAAGAACCCCGGCGAGGGGAGUGAAAAAGAACCUGAAACCGUGUACGUACAAGCAGUGGGAGCACCUUCGGGUGUGACUGCGUACCUUUUGUAUAAUGGGUCAGCGACUUAUAUUCUGUAGCAAGGUUAACCGUAUAGGGGAGCCGAAGGGAAACCGAGUCUUAACUGGGCGUUAAGUUGCAGGGUAUAGACCCGAAACCCGGUGAUCUAGCCAUGGGCAGGUUGAAGGUUGGGUAACACUAACUGGAGGACCGAACCGACUAAUGUUGAAAAAUUAGCGGAUGACUUGUGGCUGGGGGUGAAAGGCCAAUCAAACCGGGAGAUAGCUGGUUCUCCCCGAAAGCUAUUUAGGUAGCGCCUCGUGAACUCAUCUUCGGGGGUAGAGCACUGUUUCGGCUAGGGGGCCAUCCCGGCUUACCAACCCGAUGCAAACUACGAAUACCGAAGAAUGUUAUCACGGGAGACACACGGCGGGUGCUAACGUCCGUCGUGAAGAGGGAAACAACCCAGACCGCCAGCUAAGGUCCCAAAGUCAUGGUUAAGUGGGAAACGAUGUGGGAAGGCACAGACAGCCAGGAUGUUGGCUUAGAAGCAGCCAUCAUUUAAAGAAAGCGUAAUAGCUCACUGGUCGAGUCGGCCUGCGCGGAAGAUGUAACGGGGCUAAACCAUGCACCGAAGCUGCGGCAGCGACACUAUGYGUUGUUGGGUAGGGGAGCGUUCUGUAAGCCGUUGAAGGUGGCCUGUGAGGGUUGCUGGAGGUAUCAGAAGUGCGAAUGCUGACAUAAGUAACGAUAAAGCGGGUGAAAAGCCCGCUCGCCGGAAGACCAAGGGUUCCUGUCCAACGUUAAUCGGGGCAGGGUGAGUCGACCCCUAAGGCGAGGCCGAAAGGCGUAGUCGAUGGGAAACAGGUUAAUAUUCCUGUACUUGGUGUUACUGCGAAGGGGGGACGGAGAAGGCUAUGUUAGCCGGGCGACGGUUGUCCCGGUUUAAGCAUGUAGGCGGAGGUUCCAGGUAAAUCCGGWACCUUUUAACGCUGAGGUGUGAUGACGAGGCACUACGGUGCUGAAGUAACAAAUGCCCUGCUUCCAGGAAAAGCCUCUAAGCAUCAGGUAACAUCAAAUCGUACCCCAAACCGACACAGGUGGUCAGGUAGAGAAUACCAAGGCGCUUGAGAGAACUCGGGUGAAGGAACUAGGCAAAAUGGUGCCGUAACUUCGGGAGAAGGCACGCUGAUAUGUAGGUGAAGCCCCUGCGGGUGGAGCUGAAAUCAGUCGAAGAUACCAGCUGGCUGCAACUGUUUAUUAAAAACACAGCACUGUGCAAACACGAAAGUGGACGUAUACGGUGUGACGCCUGCCCGGUGCCGGAAGGUUAAUUGAUGGGGUUAGCGGCAACGCGAAGCUCUUGAUCGAAGCCCCGGUAAACGGCGGCCGUAACUAUAACGGUCCUAAGGUAGCGAAAUUCCUUGUCGGGUAAGUUCCGACCUGCACGAAUGGCGUAAUGAUGGCCAGGCUGUCUCCACCCGAGACUCAGUGAAAUUGAACUCGCUGUGAAGAUGCAGUGUACCCGCGGCAAGACGGAAAGACCCCGUGAACCUUUACUAUAGCUUGACACUGAACACUGGUCCUUGAUGUGUAGGAUAGGUGGGAGGCUUUGAAGUGUGGACGCCAGUCUGCAUGGAGCCGUCCUUGAAAUACCACCCUUUAAUGGCUGGUGUUCUAACGUAGACCCGUAAUCCGGGUUGCGGACAGUGUCUGGUGGGUAGUUUGACUGGGGCGGUCUCCUCCCAAAGAGUAACGGAGGAGCACGAAGGUUAGCUAAUCCUGGUCGGACAUCAGGAGGUUAGUGCAAUGGCAUAAGCUAGCUUGACUGCGAGAGUGACGGCUCGAGCAGGUGCGAAAGCAGGUCAUAGUGAUCCGGUGGUUCUGAAUGGAAGGGCCAUCGCUCAACGGAUAAAAGGUACUCCGGGGAUAACAGGCUGAUACCGCCCAAGAGUUCAUAUCGACGGCGGUGUUUGGCACCUCGAUGUCGGCUCAUCACAUCCUGGGGCUGAAGUAGGUCCCAAGGGUAUGGCUGUUCGCCAUUUAAAGUGGUACGCGAGCUGGGUUUAGAACGUCGUGAGACAGUUCGGUCCCUAUCUGCCGUGGGCGCUGGAGAAUUGAGGGGGGCUGCUCCUAGUACGAGAGGACCGGAGUGGACGCAUCACUGGUGUUCGGGUUGUCAUGCCAAUGGCACUGCCCGGUAGCUAAAUGCGGAAGAGAUAAGUGCUGAAAGCAUCUAAGCACGAAACUUGCCCCGAGAUGAGUUCUCCCUGAG